AUCUUUAAUUCACUUUGAGAUCUAUCAACACCAUGGCUUCUUUCAAGUGCUUUAUCUUUGCUGCAUUCUGGAUCGCUUUGUCAUUUUCAAGCAUGGACGUUGGGUUAGCUGCUCGUCAUCUUAUACCUUCAGUGCCAAAUUUGCCAAAGCCUUCAUUACCACCAUUGCCUAGCGGUGUCCCAACUCUGCCACAGCCCACAUUGCCCACAAACCCAUCUCUACCUCAACCUGCACUACCUUCACUUCCUGGCUUGCCUAGUGUUCCUAGUGUUCCUAGGGUUCCCUUGCCUCCACUUCCAAGCUUCCCUUCAAUCCCCACUAUCCCAAUUACAAUUCCCUCAAUCCCAAUCCCAUUCCUUUCUCCACCACCUGGCAACUAAAUACUUUGGAUUAAAUUGUGGAAGGAGAUUGGAAACUUGGAUCAUAUAUAUUACAAGACUGCUGUUACAUCCCUUUGCUGUGUUUCUGUGGAGUUAUUUGUGACUUUGUUAGUUGUUCAUUGUCAUUUGAUUAUGU
rnacentral:misc_RNA from 1 species